GGUAGCAGCCCCUGGUAUAUCCAGGACAUCAGCACAUAGAACCAGUGAAAGGGUCCUCCCUCAUAGUGACGCAUGUCAUAGACUCAGAUUUAUACAAACAAAUGCUGAGCAAACCAUGAAGAGUCUCUGGUAUUUUCAACAAUAUCAUCACAGAGGAACUGUAUUGAUUUCCUUCUGGAAUAUAAACUUGCAUGAGAAAAAGAUUCUUCCUUCACAUGAGAAUGAUCACAAACCCUCAGCACCCACCGACAGGGUGAAGGAAACUCAAGAGGACUCACCUUAAGUGGAGACAGCAAAUUAAUUUAUUUAGAAUAUGCCAGCUCUUUAUCAUUUGGCUAAACUAUAGCCUCUCAAGGUUUGUUUCCCUGGGACUGAAGGAUUCUCUAAAGAAAAAUGACAUCAAGAAAAUUAUCUCAAGAGGCAGAACUUUCAAACAGCAAUGGGAGGCUUUCCAAGUGAUGUUUUGGACUUUGAUCUGCAGCAGAACUACCAAGCAGCAUUACUCCCUCCUAACCAAGAAAGCCACCAAUGCCUAACCAAUGAAUUCCAUCUGCUGAAAUGCUUGCAAAUGCUUCUGCCUUCUGAGAAGGAAGAGAUGGAGGAGGCCCCAUUACAUGAUGGAAAUUAGAGAGUCUUAGUACACAGUGGGCGGGGGGUCAAGAAUGAGCUGAACAGAGACAGCAGAGUGACCAAAUAGAGCACACAGCCUGGACGGCAAGGCCUGAAUUCUCAUCUCCAUCAAGCUGGGGCUCUCUGACUUACAGGGCCCCAUCUAUAAAACAAAACUGUGUGAAAUGAUGCUGAAGUCUCUUCCUUCUCUAAAAUUGUGCAUCUUGAAUUGCUCUCGAUUCUGAUCUUGGUAUGUCUUUUAAUGGACAUGAAAAAAUGCCUGUAUCUGAUGCAAUGUUGUCUAAGUCAACGAUUACAAAAAUGUUAGAAUUUUAUGAGCAACCUGGGAAAAUCCUAACACAGAGUAAAAUAAAACCAUGGCUUCAGACUUUUUAAAAUGACAAUAAAUAAAAGAUUAACAAAGAGAUCAAUAAAA
ensembl:lncRNA LINC01255 long intergenic non-protein coding RNA 1255